rnacentral:rRNA from 1 species
AGCGGCGGACGGGUGAGUAACGCGGUGGUAACCUGCCUCAUACAGGGGGAUAACAGUUAGAAAUGACUGCUAAUACCGCAUAAGACCACAGCACCGCAUGGUGCGGGGGUAAAAACUCCGGUGGUAUGAGAUGGACCCGCGUCUGAUUAGCUGGUUGGUAAGGUAACGGCUUACCAAGGCGACGAUCAGUAGCCGACCUGAGAGGGUGACCGGCCACAUUGGGACUGAGACACGGCCCAA